UACGAAGGGUGCAAGCGUUAAUCGGAAUUACUGGGCGUAAAGCGUGCGUAGACGGCUAUCUAAGUCGGGUGUGAAAGCCCCGGGCUCAACCUGGGAAUUGCAUUCGAGACUGAAUAGCUAGGGUACGGUAGAGGGAAGCGGAAUUUCCGGUGUAGCGGUGAAAUGCGUAGAUAUCGGAAGGAACAUCAGUGGCGAAAGCGGCUUCCUGGACCAGUACCGACGUUCAGGCACGAAAGCGUGGGGAGCAAACAGG
rnacentral:rRNA from 1 species